rnacentral:sRNA from 1 species
CAGCUAUUGUAUCUGGAAUCGAUCUCUUCUUUGAGAUUUUUAGAAUUGGUAAAAGAACAAGAAAGCUUUAGAUGUGCUGCGUAGAGCUGCAACUAAAGAUGGUGGUCAUUGCUUUGGAUGCUAAAUGAUGUGGAGAAGAAUCAAUUUCCUUCGGAUUGUUCUUGAAAAGGGUUUAGUAGUCUGUUUUUGCGGAUGCUGAUGUGAUGUGGUUCAUGAACUAAUUUGCUUCUCAAUGCUUUCAAUAUUUAAUGCUUUCUUAUGAUUUCUUUGUUGAGUUGCAUUUGACUGAGAACUCUCGUGAGAUGCUUCACAUACUUACAAAGUCUCAGUCUGCGCGCAUGGAAUGGUAUUGUAUAUCAGAAGACCAUUCAAUAUGGAGAUGUUGUAGUAAUUGUCGCGUGAAAAAGUUUUAGCAAGCACAAAGUUGCAGCUCUUCAAUGGAGAUUAUUAAUUUAGAAAUGCCA